UUGGAGGUUUGGAUUUAAGUCUGGAUCUGAGUUCCUAAAAAUUAUUGGCUUCUUUCUUCAAGUUUUAUCUCUGUGCUCCAGGCCUUGUGCUCUGCUGUUGAUAGGGUCCUUGAGGAGUUAUUUACUGUUUUCAUAUGGUAUUUUUUGAAUGGGGGCUUUAUCCAGAUAUGAGAAAACACAAUCAACAUAUAAAGAGCCAGUCACUUGCCACACUGUGUCAGCAUGGAAUGAUCGAUGGAUACAUUUGCUGGUUACAGGAUUCACCUCCUUUGGCUCCUGAUAUGGUUGGAAGAGGACUGCUAUGGUUCUAUUUAUGUAGGUCUCAAACACUCCAAGGGGAUCAUGGCUAGCUGGAAUGCUGUCCAUCUUUCUCUACAAAUCUUUGCUCCUGCUCAUUUGUUUUCUGGACCUCACAUGACCCUCAUUUACCGGUUGGUGUUGCCUUAUGCUGCAAAUUUCAAUCUUCUUAUGGUUUAAAGGCUUCGGCCUCAACUCAGUACCAGGUUUUACUUCAGUUGGUUGUUAUCUCUUUCAUUUCACUGUAUAAGUUCAGAUUUCUUCUGUUGGCUAUGCAAAUGUAAUUGAUUACACAUCAGGGGGCCUGUGUUUCCUCUAACCCAGAUGAUGUUCAAACUGAUGGGAUUGGUGCCUUGCUUUAUUCUUCCCAUAUGAAGUGGGAUUUUGACUGGCACUACACUUAUCUCCCAAAGGAUGUGUGUCAUAUCCAAUUCACUGAUGGGAGCCGGCCCGUAUUCCAUAUGUUCAUCAUAAACCAUACAAGUGCACAUUAUAAUUGCCAUGCUCCACAUGUAGUCCCAGUUACCAUUUGGCAUGUAUCGCAAAUGGGAUAUGUCUAUUACAUCUUGUGCCACUUAUAUGGGUUCUGCUGCCUUGAUUAUUAUUUCCCAAAUGAUGUGUCAAUGGUAGCCGAUACUGAUGGGAAUGGGUAUAAAUUCUAUGCAUAUGGUGCUAUUGUCAUCUUAGAUUAUUUGUGGGAGGCAGAUUCAGCUGAGGUGGUGGGAUAUAUAUUUCUUCUCAAAAAAGACUGCUUUAUUCAGGAUGGGUUCUGCUGCUCAAACAUUGGAACUGCACCCAGCUGUAUUUUUACAGCGAACGGAAUGCUAUAUCCUUGCUUUUGGUUUCAGCCAAAUGUCAUUUUAUACAUUUACUGGUGGGCUUCACAGCGCUGUUUUUGGUGGUCUUUACUUUUGUUGUUCAAGCUGCUGCUGCUCUUUUGCUGAUUUGGGUUCUCGUUGUAUGUGUUCUUUGUAUAUAUAUGGACAGUCCUUGCACAGAUGGGUUUUUUGGUUU